GAUGAAGAACGUAGCGAAAUGCGAUACUUGGUGUGAAUUGCAGAAUCCCGUGAACCAUCGAGUCUUUGAACGCAAGUUGCGCCCGAAGCCUCGGCUAAGGGCACGUCUGCCUGGGCGUCACGCAUCGCGUCUCCCCCAAACCGCCAAGGCGGAGGGGAAGGAAGAUGGCUUCCCGUGCCUCACCCGGGCGCGGUUGGCCUAAAUUUGGAGCCCGCGGCACUUAGCUCUCGCGGCGAUAGGUGGUGAACAAGGCCUUGGCCGUGCAAACAACCCGCUGCGAAGCUCUAUGUCACGUGCGCUCGUCGGACCCUUUGAAGUUGCCUUCGGUGACUUAAAACCUUUGCGACCCCAGGUCAGGCGGGGCUACCCGCUGAAUUUAAGCAUAUCAAUAACGGAGGA
rnacentral:misc_RNA from 1 species